GUUAGAAUAAAGAAUACGGCCAGACUUUCAGAUGCAUGUGAGAAGUCCACUUAAGAAUAAGAAGGAGAAGGGAAGAAAUCAAGGUUAACAGGGUCCUGUUUCCAGGCUUACAAUAUUGGAGCACAGAGAGUUCUGGUUUGAGAGUUUCAUUUCCUUUGCUUGAUGCUGAGCUAGGCCAUCAGACAUGCUUGCUUUCCUGAACAAACUUCACUCACCAGCAAAGUAAACUCCUAAACUGAAAACUGAGCAUCACAGAACUUGGCACGCAAGGCUAUUAACAACAAUAAUGAUCUUCAAAACUCAGUGCUUCUGAGUCUGUCCUAGAGCUAGCAUGGAAGCGUCACAGUGGACUGAAGAGCAGCAGGCCACUCCUGUGCCUGUCCAGAGGACAUUUCCCACCAGGGGCUGGAGGGAACAUCGAUGAGUCUCGCUCUGGUGGUGGUGCUAAUUUCAAGCUCUAUUAAAUACAUGAAAUAAUAA